rnacentral:rRNA from 1 species
AGAGUUUGAUCAUGGCUCAGAUUGAACGCUGGCGGCAGGCUUAACACAUGCAAGUCGAACGGUAACAGGAGAAAGCUUGCUUUCUUGCUGACGAGUGGCGGACGGGUGAGUAAUGCUUGGGAAUCUGGCUUAUGGAGGGGGAUAACUACGGGAAACUGUAGCUAAUACCGCGUAAUAUCUUCGGAUUAAAGGGUGGGACUUUCGGGCCACCUGCCAUAAGAUGAGCCCAAGUGGGAUUAGGUAGUUGGUGGGGUAAAGGCCUACCAAGCCGACGAUCUCUAGCUGGUCUGAGAGGAUGACCAGCCACACUGGAACUGAGACACGGUCCAGACUCCUACGGGAGGCAGCAGUGGGGAAUAUUGCACAAUGGGGGGAACCCUGAUGCAGCCAUGCCGCGUGAAUGAAGAAGGCCUUCGGGUUGUAAAGUUCUUUCGGUGAUGAGGAAGGUGUUUGUUUUAAUAGAACAAGCAAUUGACGUUAGUCACAGAAGAAGCACCGGCUAACUCCGUGCCAGCAGCCGCGGUAAUACGGAGGGUGCGAGCGUUAAUCGGAAUGACUGGGCGUAAAGGGCACGCAGGCGGUGACUUAAGUGAGAUGUGAAAGCCCCGAGCUUAACUUGGGAAUUGCAUUUCAUACUGGGUCGCUAGAGUAUUUUAGGGAGGGGUAGAAUUCCACGUGUAGCGGUGAAAUGCGUAGAGAUGUGGAGGAAUACCGAAGGCGAAGGCAGCCCCUUGGGAAUAUACUGACGCUCAUGUGCGAAAGCGUGGGGAGCAAACAGGAUUAGAUACCCUGGUAGUCCACGCUGUAAACGCUGUCGAUUUGGGGAUUGGGCUUAGAGCUUGGUGCCCGUAACU